rnacentral:rRNA from 1 species
GACAGAGGUGCCAAGCGUUAGGCGGAAUCACUGGGCUUAAAGCGUGUGUAGGUGGGUCGUUAAGUACCUUGUGAAAUCCCCCGGCUCAACCGGGGAACGGCUGGGUAUACUGGCGAUCUUGAGCCACCUAGGGGCAGUCGGAACAAGUGGUGGAGCGGUGAAAUGCGUAGAUAUCACUUGGAACGCCAAUGGUGAAAACAGACUGCUGGGGGUGUGCUGACGCUGAGACACGAAAGCCAGGGGAGCAAACGGG